rnacentral:tRNA from 1 species
GGUGGCUUAGUGGUAGAGUGCUUGCCUAGCAUGCAGGAAGUCCUGGGUUCAAUUCCUCAGUACCA